rnacentral:rRNA from 1 species
CAGCCGCCACGGUAAUACGAAGGGGGCUAGCGUUGUUCGGAAUUACUGGGCGUAAAGCGCACGUAGGCGGAUAUUUAAGUCAGAGGUGAAAGCCCGGGGCUCAACCCCGGAACUGCCUUUGAAACUAGGUGACUAGAAUCUUGGAGAGGUCAGUGGAAUUCCGAGUGUAGAGGUGAAAUUCGUAGAUAUUCGGAAGAACACCAGUGGCGAAGGCGACUGACUGGACAAGUAUUGACGCUGAGGUGCGAAAGCGUGGGGAGCAAACAGGAUUAGAUACCCCCGUAGUCCCUGUCUCUUAUAC